rnacentral:rRNA from 1 species
UACGGGGGGGGCAAGCGUUGUUCGGAAUUACUGGGCGUAAAGGGCUCGUAGGUGGCCAACUAAGUCGGACGUGAAAUCCCUCGGCUUAACCGGGGAACUGCAUCCGAUACUGGAUGGCUUGAGUUCGGGAGAGGGAUGCGGAAUUCCAGGUGUAGCGGUGAAAUGCGUAGAUAUCUGGAGGAACACCGGUGGCGAAGGCGGCAUCCUGGAUCGACACUGACGCUGAGGAGCGAAAGCCAGGGGAGCAAACGGG